rnacentral:tRNA from 1 species
GCCCUUGUAGUUCAAUGGAUAAGAACAGUCCCGUCCUAAGGGAUAGAUGUAGGUUCGAUUCCUACUGAGGGCACCA